rnacentral:rRNA from 1 species
UACGAAGGGGGCUAGCGUUGCUCGGAAUCACUGGGCGUAAAGGGCGCGUAGGCGGCCAUUCAAGUCGGGGGUGAAAGCCUGUGGCUCAACCACAGAAUUGCCUUCGAUACUGUUUGGCUUGAGUCUGGUAGAGGUUGGUGGAACUGCGAGUGUAGAGGUGAAAUUCGUAGAUAUUCGCAAGAACACCGGUGGCGAAGGCGGCCAACUGGACCAGUACUGACGCUGAGGCGCGAAAGCGUGGGGAGCAAACAG